rnacentral:rRNA from 1 species
AUUGAACGCUGGCGGCAGGCUUAACACAUGCAAGUCGAGCGGGGGAAGGUAGCUUGCUACUGGACCUAGCGGCGGACGGGUGAGUAAUGCUUAGGAAUCUGCCUAUUAGUGGGGGACAACAUCUCGAAAGGGAUGCUAAUACCGCAUACGUCCUACGGGAGAAAGCAGGGGAUCUUCGGACCUUGCGCUAAUAGAUGAGCCUAAGUCGGAUUAGCUAGUUGGUGGGGUAAAGGCCUACCAAGGCGACGAUCUGUAGCGGGUCUGAGAGGAUGAUCCGCCACACUGGGACUGAGACACGGCCCAGACUCCUACGGGAGGCAGCAGUGGGGAAUAUUGGACAAUGGGGGGAACCCUGAUCCAGCCAUGCCGCGUGUGUGGAGAAGGCCUUAUGGUUGUAAAGCACUUUAAGCGAGGAGGAGGCUACUCUAGUUAAUACCUAGGGAUAGUGGACAUUACUCGCAGAAUAAGCACCGGCUAACUCUGUGCCAGCCGCCGCCGUAA